rnacentral:rRNA from 1 species
CCUACGGGAGGCAGCAGUAGGGAAUAUUGCACAAUGGGGGAAACCCUGAUGCAGCGACGCCGCGUGAGUGAAGAAGUAAUUCGUUAUGUAAAGCUCUAUCAGCAGGGAAGAAAAUGACGGUACCUGGGUAGUAAGCACCGGCUAAAUACGUGCCAGCAGCCGCGGGAAUACGUAGGGGGCAAGCGUGAUCCGGAUUUGCUGGGUGUAAAGGGAGCGUGGACGGCAGUGCAAGUCUGGAGUGAAAGGCGGGGGCUCAAACCCCGGACUGCUCUGGAAACUGUACGGCUGGAGUGCAGGAGAGGUGAGUGGAAUUCCUAGUGUAGCGGUGAAAUGCGUAGAUAUUAGGAGGAACACCAGUGGCGAAGGCGGCUUACUGGACUGUAACUGACGUUGAGGCUCGAAAGCGUGGGGAGCAAACAGGAUUAGAUACCCCAGUAGUC